GGCAACAGAAACUGAUACUCAUCUUGUGCUUCCUGUGUGCCCAGCCACUGCCCAGGUGCUUCUACUUACUGAGCAGGCCAAAACCGGGCUAGGUACAAAGCACAGGGGACACCAGCAAAUGAGACAUGAGACUGGGUGAACAGUGGGGGCACUGGGCUGAGAGUCAGGAGCUCUAAGUGCCAGAUUAAGUUGGCCAUGUCACCUUAAGAAUACUGCAGGAAUGUCAGAAAUGUUCUAGAGACAGACUGAAAGCAGAGGACUCAUAUGACAUCAAGCCUCAAUCUAAGAGAGGCUGUUGUCAAAGCUUACACAGUCAUGAAGAGGAACGGAAAGGAAUUCAAACACUGAAAACUUGAAGAACUACUGAUGAGUGGUGGGUCCUUAAUGAAAUAUCUAAAGCAGUCAGGGACAUUUCAGGUGGACACCAUCCUUAGGAGGCCAGGACCAUGGGGAUAUAACCAUGCUCUCCAUAAAAGGUCCUUUAGAAGCACUGUUUGGCAGAGUACUUGGCUGGCUUAUCAGUAUCAAUGAAAUAAUUUCCUUUCAAACCAACUGGACUACAAAGACCUACCAUUCACAAGGAACACAAAAAGCCCAACAGUAUCCAGAAAUGUAAACUGAGCAAGGAAGAACAACAGGAGAUACAGCUACAAUGAAUCUAGGCUUUGUUCUCUAACAAGGGUGGACCCUGUCAAUCAUAUAAGAAAGGAGAUCCUGCCUGAGCUACAAGGCUGAACAAAAGGAAGCAAAAACCCACCAUCCGGACAUAGAAGCCAACACUUGAGUCAAAGUCUUUUCAGGGAAUUGGACAGUAUCUGAGUGGCUAUAUAUGUGGUUGUCUUCAAUCCAGAGCCUCCUUAUGUCUUUUGUUUUGUUGCAAUGCGGACAUCUCUUACAGUAAGCAAACUUUUAGGGAAUGUGUGUUUCUCUGCAAAAUGACACCAUAAUUAGAGACAGACUAUUCCUCCUCAGCCUUAGCCAAUGAGCUCGUGUGGCCUGCCCAAGUGUCGUGAGUCGGGGGGGAAUCGUCCUGCUCUGUAAAUAUUUUCAUUCAAUGUAAACAAAACACAGUUGCAAAUCUUUUAACCAUUCAGCUAAUUAAUGUUCUGAAUUACUGCCUAUAAAAUACUCUCUAUAAAUCAUCAGUAACAAGAAGAAUCACAUUACUAUUAACAGGCAGUAUUUUUCCAGGUACCCAAAGUUAUAAAAUUAGUAAAACAGCAAUGGCCCAGGCUAAAAGCAGUGCAAAUCAGCAGUUAAUCCUUGAUUCUGACCUGCUUCCUUUUGGUACACUAAUUUUACAGUCAGUUUCUGAUACCUGCUGUCCUCUAGUAAUGCUCACCAUGAGCUAAAGUUGGCUACUGAACUCAGUUAGGUGAAAGCUCCCAUCAGUUACCAACUUCCGAGGUCAACACUAGCUUUUUGAAGGAUGCUGAGGAAAAUGGGCAUAUUGGUACCAAAGGGCCCAUGCCAACAAUUACAAUUCUUUCAUAUCCCAUUUUUAGCAUAUGAUUCAUAGUUACCAACCACAUACUGUAAGAGUCAGAAGUGCAUGCAUCAAGAAAAGGAGAACUGGGGGAAUGUCAUAUACAGAGGAACAGGAAUGGGUAUGUGUAUGUUACGCUGGAGAACAGACAGGUGGGUGACCAAGGAAUACUAUCAACUUAGGUUUUAUUACUUAGAAAAAGUUCAGAAUAGAGGUAAUAUUUCAGAGGCAUUGGGGGUUGAUGAUGGGACAGAAGAGCUGAUGUGAGGAUGACACUAGCGUACCCAGCCUCAGGGAAAUCUUACAAGAAGGUCUUGAUACAGAAAAGCUACCGUGAAACUAUGCAGAACUAACAAAGGAAGCAGGGCAGAAUGCAGAAGCAGCCAAAUAAAGCGUGGGUAUAUAACACAGAAUGAGAAUGCUGAAGCUAAUCUACAGUGAAUUAUUAGGAUGUCAAUGGGAGGGAUUGGAGUUGUUAAAUGUGGAAUACCAAAGUGACAGGCUCACAAUUUAAACUCUGUAAUUACUGCCAUAUUUCACCUCAUCUGUUAAACACAAUUUAUAUAACAUGAUGCUUAUGAAUCCAUACUUACA
rnacentral:lncRNA from 1 species